AUGGUGUGACGGGUUUGAGUG
rnacentral:siRNA from 1 species